UUCGAUUAGAGUUUGAUCAUGGCUCAGAACGUACGCUGGCGGCACGCCUAACACAUGCAAGUCGAACGAAGUAGCAAUACUUAGUGGCAGACGGGUGAGUAACAUGUAGGUAUCUGCCCUUUGGCCUGGAAUAACACGAGGAAACUUGUGCUAAUACCGGAUAAGUCUUUACGGAGAAAGCUUUAUGCACCAUUGGAUGAGCCUGCACUUGAUUAGUUUGUUGGUGGGGUAAUGGCCUACCAAGACUGUGAUCAAUAGCUGAUUUGAGAGGAUGAUCAGCCACAUUGGGACUGAGACACGGCCCAAACUCCUACGGGAGGCAGCAGUGGGGAAUCUUGCACAAUGGAGGAAACUCUGAUGCAGCGAUGCCGCGUGAGUGAAAAGGCCUUUGGGUUGUAAAGCUCUUUCGUCGGGGAAGAAAAUGACUGUACCCGAAUAAGAAGGUCCGGCUAACUUCGUGCCAGCAGCCGCGGUAAUACGAAGGGACCUAGCGUAGUUCGGAAUUACUGGGCUUAAAGAGUUCGUAGGUGGUUGAAAAAGUUGGUGGUGAAAUCCCAGAGCUUAACUCUGGAACUGCCAUCAAAACUUUUCAGCUAGAGUUUGAUAGAGGAAAGCAGAAUUUCUAGUGUAGAGGUGAAAUUCGUAGAUAUUAGAAAGAAUACCAAUUGCGAAGGCAGCUUUCUGGAUCAAUACUGACACUGAGGAACGAAAGCAUGGGUAGCGAAGAGGAUUAGAUACCCUCGUAGUCCAUGCCGUAAACGAUGUGUGUUAGACGUUGGAAAUUUAUUUUCAGUGUCGCAGCGAAAGCGAUAAACACACCGCCUGGGGAGUACGACCGCAAGGUUAAAACUCAAAUGAAUUGACGGGGACCCGCACAAGUAGUGGAGCAUGUGGUUUAAUUCGAAGAUACGCGCAGAACCUUACCAACACUUGACAUGUUCGUCGCGACUUUAAGAGAUUAAAGUUUUCGGUUCGGCCGGACGAAACACAGGUGCUGCAUGGCUGUCGUCAGCUCGUGUCGUGAGAUGUUGGGUUAAGUCCCGCAACGAGCGCAACCCUCACUUUUAGUUGCCAUCAUUAAGUUGGGCACUCUGAAAGAACUGCCAGUGAUAAGCUGGAGGAAGGUGGGGAUGACGUCAAGUCCUCAUGGCCCUUACGUGUUGGGCUACACACGUGCUACAAUGGUAUCUACAACAGGAAGCAAGACGGCGACGUUAAGCAAAUCCUUAAAAGAUACCUCAGUUCGGAUUGCACUCUGCAACUCGAGUGCAUGAAGCUGGAAUUACUAGUAAUCGUGGAUCAGCGUGCCACGAGAGGUGCGUUCCCGGGUCUUGUAGAUACCGCCC
rnacentral:rRNA from 1 species